AUUCUCCUUCAAUCCAUCUUUGUCAUGAUUUACAAAAAGAACAAAGGUGGCCAUGGGUGAAUGA
rnacentral:pre_miRNA from 1 species